AUAACGCCCCGUUUUUGUCGCAAGAUUUAAAUGGGUUCAAUACCCAAAACCGUGUCUACCUACCUUUGUUGCUUUGGCAGGCCGCCUUCGGGCGUCGGCUUCGGCUGAUUAGCGCUUGCCAGAGGCCCAAAACUCUUUGAUUUUGAUCUAGGAUUAUACUUCUGAGUGAAACAAAAAAUAAAAUCA
rnacentral:misc_RNA from 1 species